rnacentral:rRNA from 1 species
GGAUGAACGCUAGCUACAGGCUUAACACAUGCAAGUCGAGGGGCAGCGGGAUUGAAGCUUGCUUCAAUUGCCGGCGACCGGCGCACGGGUGAGUAACGCGUAUCCAACCUUCCGUUUACUCAGGGAUAGCCUUUCGAAAGAAAGAUUAAUACCUGAUAGUAUGGUGAGAUUGCAUGAUAACACCAUUAAAGAUUUAUUGGUAAACGAUGGGGAUGCGUUCCAUUAGGUAGUAGGCGGGGUAACGGCCCACCUAGCCUGCGGUGGAUAGGGGUUCUGAGAGGAAGGUCCCCCACAUUGGAACUGAGACACGGUCCAAACUCCUACGGGAGGCAGCAGUGAGGAAUAUUGGUCAAUGGGCGAGAGCCUGAACCAGCCAAGUAGCGUGAAGGAUGAAGGUCCUACGGAUUGUAAACUUCUUUUAUACGGGAAUAAAGUUUCCUACGUGUAGGAUUUUGUAUGUACCGUAUGAAUAAGCAUCGGCUAACUCCGUG